CCGUGGAGGGUGGCGGCUGUGCCUAGAUGGCAUCGACUGUGCCAUUGGCUGCUCUAUCGGUGGCUGCUGUUGCUGCUGAGUUUGCUGUUGUCAGAGGCUUCUGACAGCCUCCAUCAGAACAUUCAUCUACUAUAUGAGUGCAGCGAUUUGAGCAUCCGUGGUGACCACGAGAUGCGAAGAGCUGGGCUCUACUACCAGAGGUGGGAGAGGAGCAUCUUCCUGAAGGGAAGAGUGCCUUGCAGAUCUAAUCG
rnacentral:lncRNA from 1 species